GUGUUUAUAGUAUAACGAAUACCCUUGCUUUUCACGUAAGUAAUACAUUUUAUGUUAGACACA
rnacentral:tRNA from 1 species